GUUGGAAUCGCCUCGCGCUGAUUGGCCGCCGGGCGGCGUGACGUCACGGGGCGCGGAGAGGAAAUGGCGGAACGGAGCGGAAGUGAGACUUGAGAACAGUUGUCUCAACCUGAUGAUAACCAGAAGCCUGGACGGAUGCCUUACUGCUCACUUAGAAGUUUGGAAGCAUUCCGACAUGCUCACGGUGCAUUUCCAUAUGACCCUCUGACCACCGAGCAGAUUGUGUUGAAAAGGAAGUCAGAGGACCAUCGCCAUGUAGAAGACUCCUGCCUAAUCAACAUCCAGAGCUCAGAGUGGCUCCAGUAGAAGAUAUUAGAGCCUUGACCUGCUUCUACCAGGCCUUGCCUUGUGCCAUGGCUUUAAGAGGUUGUGCACAGCUGACAGUAUCCACACCAGAGGGAAGCUCUUUAAAUGCCUCCAAGCUUUGGGAAACCAAGAGCGCCUUAAGAACUUUUCCUUGUUCCUUCAUUUGGCUCUUGAUGAGGUGAGAGCUGCAGCGAUGGCAUGCAGAGACUCUCGUUUGCAAUAACAUCACUCUGCAGCGCGGUCCGGUGAGGCGGACCAUACGGCUCUACGUGGCCCUGCACACUGACACGCCAACACCGCGAUGUCGAAACGCGGACGGGAAGGACUUCACAUCUGCCUGCCAAAGUGCUGAGCUCCACAGACGGAUCUGAAGGGAUGGUUGAUGCAAAGAGCAAAUUUCACAUAAUGUGAAGGAAGGAAAGAACCAAAGAAAAAUCUACCCAUGGAAAUGAUGGAAUCACCUUCCCUGCAGAUGCUACUUUUUUUCUGGAUGAGGAGGUGAGCUCGAGCCUCUCCCUGGAAGAGAGGGCUGGCAGCAGCUUUGAGCUGAGAUGUGGGGGCUGCACAGGGGCCCAUUGGCUGAAGGCCUGAUAUCAUUCACCUCUCCGUAUUUGUCCCCAUGCAAGUCAAAACUCCUCCUUGAGGGCACCUGAACCAGAGUCAUGUUCCCCAUCUUUGCAGAGCCCAUGUUGUCUGCCUCUGGGAGGCGGUGGCUGGAAGGUAAGGCCCAAGCUGUCCUUCUAGGUCUUGGCUGUGCUUGUUUGGGGAGCUCAAUCCUUUUCACUCCCCCAGAGAGAAGGAGUUCACCCUACCCAAACCAUCCUGCAUGGGGUGAAGAACUCAGCCCUGCCAUAGGGUGAUCCCUGGCUAUGGGACAGUUGGACCCUCUGCGCAGUAAUAAUUAGCAGACAAAUCCUGCUGACUCGGGAAACUCAUCUAAGGGUUUGUUUGUGUGUUUGUUGUUUUUAUGAGAAGGUCCAUAUGCCUUUCAGAUUUUGUUAUUUUCAGAGUUGAUGAUCUGAGGAACAGAAUGAAGAGCUGACAUUGUUGGUUGUUUUCUUGGCCCGUUUUAUACAGCAGAUGUAUGUUGGUAGAAGGGCUACAGCUCAUUACUUUAUUUAUUCUGGUGGAGUUUUGUUGCAAAGACAAUAGGUCAGAUCAUGACACAGGAAGAAAAAAGAUAGCUUUGGAACUGGUGGGUACUGUUCAUCUACCAGGGCUCCCUUCACACCCUGGAGAAAAUCCAAGAGGUAAUAUGGGAAUUUCUGAAUGUACUUAAAGUUUAUGAGACUGCCUGCCUGAAUGCAUGCAUGUGUGUGGAAUGGAACAAGGAUCUCCAGCAUAAUACUUAAUCAAAAUCCAGUUUUACCAGUGAUAUAAGACAGAUAAAGCACUGAGUACAGUCCUCAGGAUCUGCCCCUUCAGCUUAUGCACUGUAUAUGGCAUACACAGUAUCAGUGUGGGAUUUACCCUGGAACCCUGAAUGUGUCCCGGAUUUUCCAAGUCAGAGCCUUGUCUUAAGUUAUGCCUUGCAAUGUAGGUAUUUGAUGGUCUCGGGAGCAGUUCUAGUUCGAUGCUGAUUUCUUUCUAGGGUAUGAAAAUCCUCUCUAACAUAAUAGUGCCUUUCGAAUCUGAUUCUGAACUGUGUGCUUGCUCAAGGUGUUGAAGAAAUUGGCAAUAGAGUUUGAGCCACAACUUCAUCAGCAGAGAGCACAGAUAUCUUAAUGUUUGCUGAAUCAUGCGCCUUCUUUCAGCACUCUCUUCCUGCUGAAUAACCCACAUCUAGUGCUGUUUUAUUCAGGUUUUUGAGAUUAGGACUCUCUCCCUUUUACUAUCUGAGUACCCUGUAAAUGAGAACAGGAAACCUUAUUUUCUAACUCUGUUCCUAACCUAAUCAGGGUGUAUCCUCAGGGUUCUGGCACUUCUCUUUGGGUGCUGUUUGUGAACCCCUCUACCAUGAUCCACAGAAAUCCUUAUUCCCUCCUUGCUCUCAGCCAUGGCUCCAUUGCUCAGCUUUCAUUCCCUCCACCCUUCUGCUGUCACCAUGUUGACACCCAGGGUGACCACUCCAAGUCAUUGAUCCUCCUGGCUCUCCAAGCCAGCCUGCUGAGCUGAUCUUUGCCCAGUUGUUUCUUCUGUGCCCUGAGCACCUUUUCACCAGCUUUCCACUCAUAUCCCAGUUCUCAAAUGAUCUCAAAUGUGAAUGGGCAGGGAAGGCUCGAGGGGGAAGCAGUCGCUAGUGCCCUGCACAAUGAUAAUGACAUCUGAUGAACUGAUUUCUGUCUGUGUGCAGAGUAGUGGGAUGUUCCCCUUUUCCUGGUGUUGGUGAUGUCUUUUAACUCUGCACCUCAGUAAAUAUAGUUAGCAAUGCUCCUACAUUUUGCAGCAGUGCUGGCAGAGGCAGUGUUAAAUGCAGUCAUCCCACGGCUGAUGCUGAGAAUUCCUCCAGUAAACUCCCUUCAGCUCAGUUCUUCUGUCAGUACAACUUGCUAUCAUCUCCAUUUUAGCCAAUUUAUUAUCCUCCUUACAACACUUGUCUUAUCUUCUCCAGUUUAACUAGGAAUUUUGCGUGCCAACAUAUCAGUGGUGUAAAUGAUAUUUGGGUAGAGUAGCCUGGCACGAAUGCUUGCCAUUGCCAGUCCCAGAUCUGAAGUUUGUCCUUUAUGUCACAUUAUCCCACAGCUUUCUUUAUCCUUCACCCAGUGUUUCAUCUGAAGUUUUGUAUAAUAUUGACACCGGUGACAUGACCUGUGUGGGAUCGAGUCCAGUCAGGCUGAACUCAAUGACCCCCUUCCAACUUGGGAUAUUCUGUGAUUCUGUGAUUUUCUCCUUAAAUAAAGGCACUGCAUCUUCUUUUCUCUAAGGCAUCAGUUUCAGAAUAGUGGAUCUUAUUAUCAGGUUUGUCAUUUCAUCUGUUCCUACUUGCACUGCUCAGAGCUGGAUUGGCGUUACUUCCCCCCAGCUCAAGCACAUUCAACAUUUCAGUUUGUUCUGGUCAGUUUCAGUAUUUCUUCUUGAUGAACUGCUCAUCAGUCUGUGAUGUUCCAGAUGCAGCUCUGAAGAUGCAUUUUUACAUGCACACAGUUCUUCACUUCUUUCCCAGCUACAAACACUAUGGGGUUUUCUGCAGCCAGGUGGAACUCUUUGCUGUGUCCACACUGGCAAGGAGAACAGCUGGAUCCAGGGCAAUCCUUCUGACAUGAAGAUGAGCCUGCAUAUAUGUCCAUGCAGGCUACACACUAUUUUACUUAGGGAUGCUUUUGCAAGAUGAGGGAAAGGUUUGUUCUUUAUCUGCAGGCUUCUUUGCUGGCAUUUUUUUACACCUCUGUUGCACAGGAGUAAGACGUGAGUGCUUUUACAAUGAAAGGGCUCAGAGAUUGUUGGAGCAAACCCUUGAGCAGUGCUUGGUCCCCAGACCUCCUCUGAAACAGGACAGGACAGGAACUGCUUGUGUGGGAGUCCUGCAUCUCUUAUCUGGAGAAAAGCCACCUCGUAGAUGAAGUGUCAUCUUACAGCAUGAACUGUGAGAGGAGAACAUGCAGGGGGAUAGAUCCUGGAUUGUGGAGGACUAAUGCUUCCAGGCAAGCAAAGCCUGCAGCAUCCUUUUGUUCUUGGUGCAUUCAAUGGGCAAUGCAUUGACUCAGCCUUUUACUCAAAGGCUUUAUGCUGGGUUCAGCUAUCACCUGUCUUUCUUCCCUUGGCCUGUAUAAAGAGUCAAGCCAGCAGGAGCAUCAGACUGUGUGCUUGGGCUAACCUGAGUGGUGUGUGCUAACAUCUCAUCGAGAUUCCUUGGUAAUGGACGUGGAAACAUGGCCUCAUUGUUCAGCCUGCAGAACAGUGAGCCUGAAAACAUGGGGCAGCAUAGGAUUCUAUAGAGAGAGCUGGAGUGCUGAGAGCAUCCUCAAGUGGGGUGCAAUGAUGGACUUCGAAAAAGAAGUUCAGGAGCAUAUGUUACAGGAAAAAGAAAUGGAGAAGGACAAGACUUGGUCCUCGCAUGGGAGAUGCUAUAAAGGCAACAGGUGGGAUGUAAGCUGGCAUGUGGUACCCAUGUGAACGUGGAGUGCUCAGUAGAAACUGGAAGUAGUUCUCAGAUGGGCAGAACUAUAUGGAAAGGCCUGUUCUGCAAGGAGACUUCCCAAACGUGCUCUCAUCAGAAGCAACAUUGAUUUGACCUGUCAGAGCUGUUAAAUUUGAGGCCAUGUCUGUGGGCCCAGCCAGCUGAGAGCUCCAAAAUUCUUUAGCAGAGGUCCAAAAUAAACAAGGUGUGGUGAAGAAAAAAAUGCUUUUUGCUCCUCGCAGAUUACUGGGAAUGAUCUUCCUUUUUCUGUCUGAUCCAUUGGUGAAGGCUCUCUUAUCUUCCAGCAGCCAGACUCGAGAGGAUGCAUGAGUGCUUCCUCUGAGCAACGUGGAGGAGGCCAGAGACAAUAUUUUGUCUGAAGCAAGAAACAUUUGCUCAUGGGAUGCCAGUAAACACAUGCACUGCAAAAGGAGUUUUGCUGUGGACAUGAGGAUGCUGUAGAUUUCUCCGUUUGAUCAGCUGGAUUUGCACCUGAGUUUUGAUCCCAUAGCCGUGGCUGAAGCUCUCCUUACUUCUGCAGAGACUGUCCCCUAUGCCAGCAGAACCACCUGAGCCAUUGGCCAUCACCCAGCAGGGAGGGGAUCCCAGACAGCUCGUCAGGCGUGUUGUGAUUGACACGUGUGUGAUCUGCCUCCUAAGAGGAAGACAUUUGGGCUGCAGUACCAGAGCCAUGGGAUGAGCUUUGCUCACACCAGCAAGCAGCGUGCCCACUUAGUCCCUGGAGAACUGGCUGGACUUGGAGUUUUGGUGUUUGUGGAGAAAGGAGUUUUUGCCCAGCAGGGCAGAAUGUUCCUGUGUGGGUGCUGCUCAGUGAGAUGCAUUCUCUGCAUCAUGAAGAAUGUUGAGUGGAUGGGGAGCUACUUCUGAGGGAGCAGAGCUGUGCUCCUGCAAGCAUAGACCAGUUGGUCUCCAGUUUUCUGGUGACUGCUGUGUUGCCUGCAGGCUGCAGCCAUUCUCAACACUGUAAAUACCUUCAGACAUCUGCUUGAAGCAUGCCUCCCUACCAGAAGCUGUGAUGAAGGUGAUGCAGUCAUGUCUUCUGUUUCAUGGUUCCUCUGUGGUUGCCCCAUUUGGGGUUCUUGGUGGAUUACCAGCAAGGGAACCUCUGAAAAAAGGAGUCAUUGCUGUUUUGUGCUUUGGAUCAGUAUUUGGAUCCACUGUUCCUGGCUCAAGUCAACACUCAGUGGCUCUAAACUCUCUUUGCUUCCUCUUGUUAUCCUCCACUCUCCAACCAUGUGUCUUAUUCCACUUAAUUCCCUCCUUGGAGUCCCUCAGGUCCCAAACCCAUUCUGCCCCAUAUGUCCUUGCCAUGGGCCUGGUCCCAAGUGAUGCAGCAGAGCCCCCUGCCCCACUUUGCCUCUGUGCCUUCCCAGGGACUUGCACAGAGGGUGUGAAGAGGCAGCAGCCAGCAGGGCAUGGGUGGGGCGAGCAGGAAUGAGGGCUGAGACCAAAGAGAUCCUCAGGGAAAUGGCUGCAGCUGCAUUGCUCUGCUUUCUGUGGCUCAAAGUGUGACACCAGUGUGCACAGGGGCUGGUGCUGUGAAGUACGAGUGUCACACUGAGUGUGGGCACAACACAAAUGGAAAACGCUGCUUUAAACUCUUAUCUUAAGCCUUCAGUUCAACACACUCGAAGCCUGCAUCCUUCCAGGCCGGUGAUGCACCUGCCAGCUGCAUCGCUGGGAUGCAGAGCAGAUCUUUGCAGAGCUGCACAGGCCUGUUGUGACACCUUGGUGCCUCUGGCUUCGCUCCCAUUUUCUAGAGUUGCACUUGGCCUUGCUCUGGCCCUGUGCCCAGCCUCAAUUCGCCUUCUUGGUUUUCACUUAUUUCCCAUAUCGCUUUUCUCUCCCGCUUCUCCUCAGGGAUCUGGCUGCAAACCCUUGUGGGUGAGCAGCCCCUCCCUGCCAGGCUCUCUUCAUUUGUAAGACAGAGACGUGGGAUCUCGGCAGUUUUUCUUCCUUCUUCCAUCUGAAUUUUAGCUACUUCUUCUGCUGCAUGUCUCUCUUCUCCCUUUUCCUGACUCAGCCCUUCAGUUUUAUUGCUCUGUGAGCUGUUUGGUCACUGCUAUUUUAAAAAUAAAACAAGUGCAAAUGGCCCUGAGUUGGGAUCCUGGUUUGCCUGUGGGAUCAAACAUGCACAGUACACACGUACGGCUCUGGUUUGCCCACAUCGUUUGGAUAAGGUAUCAGAAAGCACAGACUGCCUUUGCACUGAAGCCUGCAGGUCAAGGAACUGGCCUCCCUUCAGUGCAGGGCCGUGUGGCUAAAGCCCUGACAUGUAUUUCUGGAAAAUGCUGGAAACCCACCUCAUGUGUUUAAUUCCUCCUUUCAGGGCAUGUUCACUUUUGCUUCUUUCUUACAGGGAAGAUUUUGCUUCCAUCUCCCAGCGAUGUUACCCUUCUGCUCUCCUUCUCAAGCCAGUGCAACACAAGGAGAGCCAGCCCCAGUCAUUCCUCAUGAGCUGAGUGGUGAGGAUGUCCCUCCGUGAUGGAGGCUCUGACAUGCCUUUAAUUCUGAUCUUCUCCGUUCCUCAUUUUUUUUUAUCACCCUUCACAGUUAAGCAUAUAAUUAGCCACUUGGAUAAAGUAGGUUUGUGGUGUCGCAGAGUCACAGCGCUGAACCUAGACCUUCUGAAGUCCAAAUCAACUCCUUCAUCAUCAGAGCAGCCUUCCUCUGGGCACACCAGCACUUGUGGCAUGGCCCAGAACCUCUCGCCUUUGAACUUCCCAGCUCCAGGCUGCUGAGUCAGUGUCUGUGUAUGAUGGAAGCAGUGAAGGGGGAAACGGGUAAUUGCUUAGGGAGGAAAAAGACAAAAACGAAACCAUGCCUUGCUGCCAUUGACACAAGCUUUGCUCACGUGCUUUUGGAUAAUAGAUUUUUAGGAGAGAAUGCAGUGGGCUUUGAUUCUCAGGUAUUUUCUCAGAGCAGAAGAGAACAGAGCAGGUAACAGUAAGUAAGAACACCUCUACCUUGUAAAUAAACCCAGAGGACGCCUCUCUCCUUAACUCCCUUCAUCAAUAAUAAAACAGUCUUGCUGCACUGCAGUGAAGUAGGUCCUGCUAAAAAGCUACAGUCAGGAAGCACUGGGAGUACUUCUAGCUCUUUCCUUCCCAUAUACCUGUUUUAGAAGGACUAAACCUGUAGGGUACUUGGAGCGAACUGCAUUGUCCUCACAAACAUGUUGCAAUAACAUGGAUUGCUUUGCAGCAGAGUGAGCCACUGAGGUCCCUGCUGAAGACCUUGCUGCACUUAGCAUGCUUUAGCCAAGGGUGAUGGAUUUGUGUUUGUGUGUAUGUGUGUGUUUAUAUACACAUUCACUAUGUAGGCCUAUUUGGUGACCAUUUUUGGUGACCUCUAAGAUCACCCUUAGAGGUUUAUUCCAGCCCUAAUGAUUCUGUGAUUCUAUGAAUACAUCCCUCACCUUCUGGAGGUCCCUCUCACAUCUCAAGGAUGAGGUUUUGAUUGAAUGGAAAGCAAAUGUACGCUAAAAGCAAUGAUUGUUUCUGGAACAUCCAUGAAAAUAUGGAUAUUCCCACUGUCUCUCCAAGCAACCUGUGCUGGAGGUGUUUGUAGCACCGGUCAGGAGACUUUCCAUAACAUCCCAUUAAGACGGCUUUAGCUUUAUUUGUGACUUGUAUUGCUGAAGCACUCCCCCAGGACCCAGGCCUCCACGUUUCCAUGCACUGCUCAAGAAUCUCAGAAGGGACAGCACUGAACGGAAGGGGCAUUGCAAUGUAACUGGAGCAGA